rnacentral:rRNA from 1 species
CCUACGGGAGGCAGCAGUAGGGAAUCUUCCACAAUGGACGAAAGUCUGAUGGAGCAACGCCGCGUGAGCGAUGAAGGCCUUCGGGUCGUAAAGCUCUGUUGUUAGGGAAGAACAAGUACCGGAGUAACUGCCGGUACCUUGACGGUACCUGACCAGAAAGCCACGGCUAACUACGUGCCAGCAGCCGCGGUAAUACGUAGGUGGCAAGCGUUGUCCGGAAUUAUUGGGCGUAAAGCGCGCGCAGGCGGUCCUUUAAGUCUGAUGUGAAAGCCCACGGCUCAACCGGGGAGGGUCAUUGGAAACUGGGGAACUUGAGUGCAGAAGAGGAGAGCGGAAUUCCACGUGUAGCGGUGAAAUGCGUAGAGAUGUGGAGGAACACCAGUGGCGAAGGCGGCUCUCUGGUCUGUAACUGACGCUGAGGCGCGAAAGCGUGGGGAGCGAACAGGAUUAGAUACCCUGGUAGUCCACGCCGUAAACGAUGAGUGCUAAGUGUUAGAGGGUUUCCGCCCUUUAGUGCUGCAGCAAACGCAUUAAGCACUCCGCCUGGGGAGUACGGCCGCAAGGCUGAAACUCAAAGGAAUUGACGG